GAUGAACGCUGGCGGCGUGCCUAAUACAUGCAAGUCGAGCGAACGGACGAGAAGCUUGCUUCUCUGAUGUUAGCGGCGGACGGGUGAGUAAUACGUGGAUAACCUACCUAUAAGACGGGGAUAACUUCGGGAAACCGGAGCUAAUACCGGAUAAUAUUUUGAACCGCAUGGUUCAAAAGUGAAAGACGGUCUUGCUGUCACGUAUAGAUGGAUCCGCGCUGCAUUAGCUAGUUGGUAAGGUAACGGCUUACCAAGGCAACGAUGCAUAGCCGACCUGAGAGGGUGAUCGGCCACACUGGAACUGAGACACGGUCCAGACUCCUACGGGAGGCAGCAGUAGGGAAUCGUCCGCAAUGGGCGAAAGCCUGACGGAGCAACGCCGCGUGAGUGAUGAAGGUCUUCGGAUCGUAAAACUCUGUUAUUAGGGAAGAACAUAUGUGUAAGUAACUGUGCACAUCUUGACGGUACCUAAUCAGAAAGCCACGGCUAACUACGUG
rnacentral:rRNA from 1 species